rnacentral:rRNA from 1 species
GGAAUUAUGGAUUGGAGCCGGGAUCGGUUUUAGGAAGGUGGAUUUGUAAGUAAUUGUUUUUAUAUUAUUAAUAAAUGAAGGGUGGAAUAACAUGUGUACAUAUUGCCCGUCGCUCUCGUUAUUUUUGAGAUAAGUCGUAACAUAGUUGAUGAACUGGAAAGUGUAUCUUUUUGA